UAUUUUCAGACGUGUUGUCAUUUCCAUAUACCUGAGACAACCACGGAUGUAUGUUGGAGAUGCUGUGACAAUGAUUUAUGUAAUGCCAAUUGUACAAGUAUACCUUACAACAACGCACAUACAACAAAACGUCCUUGCGUUGAUAGAUCAUCGUCAGUUACUUGUGAACUUGCUUCAAGCAUUGCGUGUAGUGACAAAGAUAAGGCAAGUCACGCCGGAUGUUCUCAUUUUUGCGGAUUUUGCUAAAGGAGCUUUGACAAUUUAUUUUUUGAUGAAAUUAAUUUGUUAAAAUUUUGAAUAUACAUCGAUAAUAAAUACUGAUGUAAAUUAAA